UCACAAAAUGCAUUCUAGUUUAUCAGAGAAAAAGAACCUCUCCCUCGUAUUCUCUCUCUCUAUCCCGCUCUCUCUUUGGCUCGCCACUUUCUCUUCAGCUCUCAAGAGCUUGGUAUGUCAUGUGCAUUUUUUGCUGAAACAAAAAAUCAAGUAGAUCCAAUUAGAUUUUGUCAGAGUAGUCAUAUAGCUUGUAUGCUUUUAUAUAUGAAAUGGGCUCACGAGGGAGAUUAUUAUUUGAUCUUAAUGAACCCCCGGCUGAAGAUGAUGAGGAGAGUGAUCAUGCUACCUGCGUCCAGCCACAAAAGGCACUUCCAUCUGCAAAUCCCCAUGCUUCUGAUUUGUUUGUUUCAUCAUCAAGUUCUCAACGAAUAGUAAAUAACCAUGCAUUCUCACAUGCAUCAACUGGUUCAGGUUUUCAGCCUUUUAUUCGGCAUAGAGGUUCUCCUUCCCCUUCCCCUGAAGUAAGCAUUGAACCCAAAAGGACAGGCGAUCAGAAUUCCAAUUUGGCAUUGUCCUCCUCAAUUUCAAAUAACAGUGAGGAAAUAAAGGCAUAUGUAGCAGCUUCAUCUAUGUCAGGUUCUGCAAAUGCUCAAACUUUGGAAAGAGAAGAAGGUGAAUGGUCUGAUGCUGAGGGUUCGGCUGAUGUAUGUGGAAAUUAUAAUAUUCAUGAUGAAGUUAAACCUUCACAAGAGGAAGGUGUACAGGAAGCUAUGGAGUCUAAUGCUUUAGGUGCUACUGUUGAAACUGUUCGUGCUGCUGAAAACAGCCAUUCUCCAUUAAGAUUGGACCAAAAUCUGAAUGAGCAAAAGGGGAACAGUAUCCAAGUUUCAGAAGGCAAUGUUAAAGGUGAUAUAUCCAUUGAUGGUCGGGAAGAACCUGGGUUGGUGCCCAAACAGAGAGAAGUUAGAGGAAUUGAAGCAAGUUAUGCUCUGAAGUGUGCGAAUAAUCCUGUAAAGAGGAAGAUUGACCAACAGAAAGAAGCAAUGCUGGGAAAGAAACGGAAUAGGAAGACCAUGUUUCUUAAUUUGGAAGAUGUCAAACAAACUGGUCCUAUUAAAACUUCUACUCCAAGAAGGCAGAACUUUCCUACACCAAUUAUUACACGUACUGUGAAAGAGGUUCGUAUCAAUGCUCAAUCUGGUGAACAUGCCGGGGAAAAUCAAGGUCAGCCAAUAAAUGAGGAUCAGAAGCAAGUUGAUUUACCAAGUAAUGAUGCACGCAAUCCUGCAGUGGAGUUAUGUGAUCCUAAAUCUGAAUUUAAUGGUGAUAGGAGUUGUGGACUACUUGCCAAGCCUAGGAGUUUAAAUAGUGAUGCUGAACUUUCAGAGGCUCAUCUACCACCCAUUCCAAGACAGAGCUCAUGGAAGCAACCUAUAGAUUCGAGGCAGGUUAAGAAUUUACAGUUUUCUAAUCGAAAACCUACUCCAAUCAACCAAAGCUCUGUGGACACGAAGAUUGUAAACAAGAAACAUCUUCUUUCUAAAAAGACAACUGCUAUUAGUACCUCCUAUCAAGAUACAUCUGUGGAACGCCUUAUACGAGAGGUGACCAGUGGAAAGUUUUGGCAUCACCCAGAGGAUACUGAGCUCCAGUGUGUUCCUGGACGGUUUGAAUCUGUGGAAGACUAUGUCAGAGUAUUUGAGCCUUUGCUUUUUGAGGAAUGCCGUGCACAACUGUACAGCACAUGGGAAGAGUUAACUGAAUCACCUUCAAGAGAUACGCUUAUAAUGGUUCGUAUAAAAAGCAUUGAAAGGCGAGAAAGAGGAUGGUAUGAUGUGAUAGUUCUUCCUGGUAAUGAAUGCAAGUGGGUAUUUAAGGAAGGUGACGUUGCUGUUUUAUCAACACCAAGGCCUGGCUCAGUUAGAACCAAGUGGAACAAUACCUCUUCAGUUGAAGAAGAUGAAGAUUCUGAGGUUAAUGGACGCGUGGUUGGAACUGUUAGGCGACACAUACCCCUUGAUACUCGUGAUCCUCUUGGUGCAAUCGUUCACUUUUAUGUUGGUGAUUCCUAUGAUUCAAACGGCAAGGUUGAUGAUGAUCACAUUCUCCGGAAACUUCAGCCCAGGACUGUAUGGUAUCUAACUGUUCUCGGAUCUCUUGCGACUACCCAGCGUGAGUAUGUGGCAUUGCAUGCUUUUUGUCGUCUUAAUUCUCAGAUGCAAACUGCAAUCCUUAAACCGAGCCAAGAUCACUUCCCAAAAUAUGAGCAGCAAUCUCCAGCUAUGCCUGAUUGCUUCACACCAAGCUUUGUUGAUCAUUUGCAUAGGACAUUUAAUGGCCCUCAGCUUGCAGCAAUCCAGUGGGCUGCUACUCACACAGCUGCUGGAACAAGUAGUGGGCUGACAAAGAGGCAAGAGCCAUGGCCUUUUACACUUGUUCAAGGGCCUCCAGGAACAGGUAAGACACACACAGUAUGGGGGAUGCUAAAUGUCAUCCAUUUGGUUCAAUAUCAACACUAUUAUACCUCUUUGCUUAAGAAAUUAGCACCUGAGAGCUAUAAACAAGCUAAUGAGAGCAAUCCCGACAAUGUCGCAAUGGGAUCAAUUGAUGAAGUCCUCCAGAACAUGGACCAGAAUCUUUUUCGUACCCUUCCAAAACUCUGCCAAAAGCCAAGAAUGUUGGUUUGUGCUCCUUCUAAUGCUGCAACCGAUGAGCUUCUUGCACGUGUUCUUGAUCGAGGAUUUAUUGAUGGUGAGAUGAAAAUCUACCGUCCUGAUGUGGCCCGAGUUGGGGUAGACUCUCAGACACGGGCUGCCCAAGCAGUUUCCGUUGAGCGGAGAACUGAGCAACUUCUACAGAAGAACCGUGAUGAAAUUUUUGGACAUAUUCAGACUUUAAAGGCUCGUGAAGCUAUGUUAUCUCAGCAGAUAGCUACUUCUCAAAGGGAUCUUACUGCUGCAGCUGUUAAUGUUCGGUCCCAAGGUUCUGUUGGUGUUGACCCUGAUAUUCUUGUUGCACGGGAUCAGAACAGAGAUGUACUGUUGCAGAACCUUGCUGCAGUUGUUGAAAACAGAGAUAAAGUUCUAGUUGAGAUGUCUCGCCUUCUUAUUUUAGUACCCAAGUUCCGUGUCGGUAGUAACUUCAACUUGGAAGAAGCCCGUACUAAUCUUGAGGCUAGUUUUGCCAAUGAGGCUGAGAUUGUUUUCACCACUGUCUCAAGUAGUGGGCGUAAGCUGUUCUCUCGCCUUACCCAUGGUUUUGAUAUGGUUGUAAUUGAUGAGGCUGCUCAAGCCAGUGAAGUUGCAGUACUUCCUCCCCUAUCUCUUGGUGCAGCAAGAUGUGUACUUGUUGGGGAUCCUCAACAGCUUCCUGCAACAGUUAUCAGCAAGGCUGCUGGGACACUCUUAUACAGUAGAAGCCUUUUUGAGAGGUUCCAGCAAGCAGGAUGCCCGACUAUGUUGUUAUCUGUUCAAUAUAGGAUGCAUCCCCAAAUUAGGGAUUUCCCAUCUCGAUACUUCUAUCAAGGACGUCUCAUUGACAGUGAAAGUGUUGCCAACUUACCUGACGAGGUUUACUACAAAGACCCUUUACUUAAACCUUAUUUAUUUUAUGAUAUUACCCAUGGUCGGGAAUCCCAUAGAGGUGGAUCUGUUUCAUAUCAGAAUAUGCAUGAAGCAGUGUUCUGUUUGCGCUUGUAUGAGUACCUACAGAAAACUUCAAAAUCUUUGGGUGUGCCAAAAAUCACGGUGGGUAUAAUAACACCAUACAAGUUGCAAUUGAAAUGCAUACAACGUGAGUUUGAGUGUGUUCUAAGAACAGAGGAAGGGAAGAGGGAUUUAUAUAUUAAUACCGUAGAUGCUUUCCAGGGUCAGGAACGUGAUGUUAUUAUUAUGUCUUGUGUCCGUGCCUCAAAUCAUGGGGUGGGCUUUGUUGCAGAUAUCCGUCGAAUGAAUGUUGCUCUUACUCGUGCCAGAAGGGCUUUGUGGGUUAUGGGCAACGCGGGUGCUCUGGUGCAGUCUGAUGAUUGGGCAGCCUUAAUUGCUGAUGCCAAAGCUAGGAAUUGUUAUAUGGAUAUGGAUUCUCUCCCCAAGGACUUCACAAAAGACUUUCUCCCCAAAGACUUUUCAGGGCCAAGGGAACUUGGUUAUUCCCCAUCACAGGGUAAGGCUUCUAAUACGAGGGGUUUAAGGUCUGCUGGACCAAGACAUAGGUCACUUGACAUGCACAUGGACUCCAGGUCAGGAACACUGUCAGAAGAUGAAGAGAAGUCGGGUACAACAUUAUUUUCUAGGAAUGGGAAUUAUCGUCCAUUAAAGCCUCCACAGGAGACGUCUUUGGAUGAUUUUCAUCAGUCAGGUGAGAAAUCUAGAGAUGCCUGGCGAUAUGGUAUACAGAAGAAGCAAAAUUCUGCUGGUACAAUGGGGAAAAGAGAUACAUAGCAACUAAUUGUUUUAACAAUGAACUGUGUCGCACAUGGAGAUCCUGGGAGUAUUAACUUUAUUUAUAAUCCUAGCGUUGAAAUUUAUGAAGAGCUCUCAUUUCCACAAGGAUCGAAACAAUUUGUGGGAAUUUGGCGCCAGGCUUAUGUCUGAUAAUUGCUCCUAGAUGAACAAGGCGAGAGGGAUAUGCAUGGGUCAGUGAUGAACUUAGCCAGCCCUUGAAAUUGGUUCCUGCUAGGUGGUGGAUGAUCUUGGGGUAGGACGCAUGAAAUCAUACCCUAGAUCCACCCACCAGCUUACAGGCUUCAAAGAAAUCGAAUGCUGUCAUCAAGGAUUGUGUUGCCCACCCAACGUCUUUUUGCAUGAUAACAAAGAGCAAAUCGUCCCAAUCUUGUCGAAUUACUGGAAUGAAGUCUUUAAUUGAAUCAAUUGGCUAGCCAUCUCAACUUUUUUGGUGCCCUUUAGCACCAUAAUUUUCCACAAUACGUGGAAUGCAUGGCUGGCUCCAGUUCUGGAAUGUGAAUUCAUUUAGAUCAGUCCACGAAGUGUUGUACAAUUUAUUUUGCAAAUGCUACAAAAUCUCGAGGAUGAGUAGUGAUUUGUGAAGGGGCAUGACUUGGAAGCUGCCUUAAAUAUUUCGCAGAUGCUCCAAGGUGAUAACUUUUUGUAGCUCUGCAGGAUACGGUUUGGUUAACUUCAAGGAUUUGUUGUUUAAAAAAGCAAAAGAUUUGGAUGGUAAUAUGACAUUUCUCAAAAAAUUCUGUAUAGAGAAAUAGAGAUGUCUAGGGAGAGUACAUAUUUUGUGCAACGAAAUCUCAUGUAGCUGAUCUUGUGUAUACAGCUUCAGCUGUGGAACCAAAC